UAGGCCGUAGCCAAGCGGUAAGGCACCAGGUUUUGGUCCUGGCAUGCGGAGGUUCGAAUCCUCCCGGCCUAA
rnacentral:tRNA from 1 species